rnacentral:rRNA from 1 species
CAGCCGCCGCGGUAAUACGUAGGUCCCGAGCGUUGUCCGGAUUUAUUGGGCGCAAAGCGAGCGCAGGCGGUUAGAUAAGUCUGAAGUUAAGGGCUGUGGCUUAACCAUAGUACGCUUUGGAAACUGUUUAACUUGAGUGCAAGAGGGGAGAGUGGAAUUCCAUGUGUAGCGGUGAAAUGCGUAGAUAUAUGGAGGAACACCGGUGGCGAAAGCGGCUCUCUGGCUUGUAACUGACGCUGAGGCUCGAAAGCGUGGGGAGCAAACAGGAUUAGAUACCCCUGUAGUCCCUGUCUCUUAUACC